AAAUUUUAGUAAUUUACGGAUAUGCCAUGAGUCCAUGAGUUGUACAAGGGAAUACGUGCUGGUUAUAAGGAAUUUUCAAAUGUUAUGCAGCUCAAAUUAUAUAUAUUCAUCCACUCGUCUAGCGGAUUGUUGCCCCCGUUGCAGCAAUUCCAGAAUGAUGUCGUGCUCCGCCCCAGGAUUUAUUUCUGCCACUUUCCCCGGGUCCGGCACAAUCGGCUUUGCAGGCAUCGGCGCUGCGCUUUAAUCGGCUGAGCCCCUCCCUAGUGGUCGGAGCACAUCGACAAUGCCCUUCAUUAUCUAAAUGGAGCUGCGCUUGGACUCAGUCAUGUCCAAUUGCAUGGAUUUCCUAGAAGUUUGAUGGGCCUGAGUUAUCGCCGGGAUCCCUGCCGAUUGGGUACUCUCGAGAACUGUAGAUUCUCCUGGGCCUUACCCUGAUGUAAUGAAACCUUCUCCACUUCGAUCGGAUGUUUAACCAAUGGAAUCUUCCUAUGAGCAGAUAGUCGUCCGAAACUCAAUCUGAGGAAUGAUUAGUAUUCAACAAAGCGAAAUUUCGAGGAGAGAAAACACUUUCUAAGCCAGGAAAACAACUUUUCGGACAAAUAUUUGACUGGCGAAUGGCAUCCAAAGGACUCAUCACAGUACCUUGUAGACUAUUCGAGCUUUUGUCGCCCCUUUUUACCCUUUGCACCCAUUAAAAAUAGGUAAAAGGGGUUUUUUGUGCAAAAGUAACAGGCAGAAGGAAGCAUCUCCGACCCCAUAAAGUAUAAAUAUUCUUGAUCAGCGUCAAUAGCCGAGUCGAUAUAGCCAUGUCUGUCUGUCUGUUUCUAUGCGAACUAGUCUAGUUUUUAAGCUAUCGUCAUGAAACUUUGCAGAAGUGCCUCCUUUUGUUGCACGCAGUACAUAUGUCGGAACCGGCUGGAUCGGAAUACUAUAUCAUAUAGCUGCCAUUAGAACGAUCGGUCGAAAAGUAGGUUCUUGUAU